CGGGGGGGGCAAGCGUUGUUCGGAAUUACUGGGCGUAAAGGGCUUGUAGGUGGCCAACUAAGUCAAACGUGAAAUCCCUCAGCUUAACUGGGGAACUGCGUCUGAUACUGGAUGGCUUGAGUUUGGGAGAGGGAUGCGGAAUUCCAGGUGUAGCGGUGAAAUGCGUAGAUAUCUGGAGGAACACCGGUGGCGAAGGCGGCAUCCUGGACCAAUACUGACACUGAAAAGCGAAAGCCAGGGGAGCAAACGGGAUUAGAUACCCCGGUAGUCCUGGCCCUAAACGAUGAAUGCUUGGUGUGGCGGGUAUCGAUCCCUGCCGUGCCGAAGCUAACGCAUUAAGCAUUCCGCCUGGGGAGUACGGUCGCAAGGCUG
rnacentral:rRNA from 1 species